UACAGAGGUGGCAAGCGUUGUUCGGAAUUACUGGGCGUAAAGGGCGCGUAGGCGGUCUUGUCAGUCCCUUGUGAAAUCCCCCGGCUCAACUGGGGAACUGCACGGGAAACAGCAGGGCUUGAGUUCGGGAGAGGGAAGCGGAAUUCCGGGUGUAGCGGUGAAAUGCGUAGAUAUCUGGAGGAAUACCGGUGGCGAAGGCGGCAUCCUGGACCACGACUGACACUGAAACGCGAAAGCCAGGGGAGCAAACGGG
rnacentral:rRNA from 1 species